AUAUUAUGCUGGGAAACAGACACUAUGUACCCAGCCAUAAAUGAGACAGCACAGAUGCAUUGGGAGUGUUCCAACAGCGGGUUCCUGUAUCUACCCUGGGAUCCAUACAGACUGCAGCCUCCCGAAGAGCUAUAGUUGAUAUGAGAUAAAGAAUUGUUUGUGCUUCAAAAGAAAUGGCAGCGUUUGGAAAUUUUGCUUUUGUUCUGGAUCAGAAUGAGAAACAAACUGUCAACACCUCCUUUGAAGUGAAAAUGAAAAUUGAGACAAAACAUCAACAUGAGAAUCAGCACUUAAGAUGAACAAAACAUGUUCAUUUUGUAAGCUUCUUCUAGAUGUUAUGCACCGUGAUUGAACUGGGUUUGCCUUCUGGUACUCCCCAGCCUUCCAGAUCUGUUAAAAGUCAUUUCCUUGGAGGAGGAGGGACUUGAAGUGGCAAUGAGGCUCAUUUUGGCUGGUGGGAUGGAGAGAAUGAGACCACCUCCAGAAACUACUGCAAAGAGCAGGUUGUGCAGUGGAGGUGAGACUGUGGUGCCUGGGGGAAAAUACUGCUGGGGCAUGGAAGUGAGGUCAGAGAAACUGUGUUCUAGGAAAGGUACGUUCUCCAC